GGGGCGGUAGCUCAGUUGGGAGAGCGUCGCGUUCGCAAUGCGAAGGUCAGGGGUUCGACCCCCCUUACCUCCACCA
rnacentral:tRNA from 1 species